CCGGUACGUGAUUCCUUCUUGGCACUUUCCUAGCCGUCUAGUGUGGAAAUUGUGUCGUGUUGACAUGAAGAAAAAAACAAAACAGAGGAAAUACAGAGUAUAUCACUCUAAAGUGAGGAAAUCUAGUGUUCAUAUAUUUCCUUCCUUUUCUAUUUCCAUAUGUUUUCCUAACAAUGAACCACCAUGCUACCUACCAUAAGGAGCUUAUGUUGUUUUGUUUAUCUUGUGCUUGUNN
rnacentral:lncRNA from 1 species